rnacentral:tRNA from 1 species
GCCCCCGUAGCUCAGUGGAUAGAGCAACGGUUUCCUAAAUCGUAGGUCGUCCGUUCAAAUCGGACCGGGGGCACCA